rnacentral:rRNA from 1 species
CCCUUAGACGUUCUGGGCCGCACGCGCGCUACACUGACCAGUGCAACAAGCAUCCGUCCUUGGCCGACGGGCCCGGGCAAUCUUUGAACGCUGGUCGUGAUGGGGAUAGACUUUUGCAAUUAUGGGUCUUCAACGAGGAAUUCCUAGUAAACGCAAGUCAUCAGCUUGCAUUGAUUACGUCCCUGCCCUUUGUACACACCGCCCGUCGCACCUACCGAUUGAAUGGUCCGGUGAAAUCUCGGGACGGCGGCUUGGUCGCUUGCGUCCGACUGCUGAAACUUGAUUAAACCAUAUCAUUUAGAGGAAGGUGAAGUCGUAACA